AGCGAACGCUGGCGGCAGGCCUAACACAUGCAAGUCGAACGAACUCUUCGGAGCUAGUGGCGGACGGGUGAGUAACACGUGGGAACGUGCCUUUAGGUUCGGAAUAACUCAGGGAAACUUGUGCUAAUACCGAAUAUGCCCUUCGGGGGAAAGAUUUAUCGCCUUUAGAGCGGCCCGCGUCUGAUUAGCUAGUUGGUGAGGUAAAGGCUCACCAAGGCGACGAUCAGUAGCUGGUCUGAGAGGAUGAUCAGCCACAUUGGGACUGAGACACGGCCCAAACUCCUACGGGAGGCAGCAGUGGGGAAUCUUGCGCAAUGGGCGAAAGCCUGACGCAGCCAUGCCGCGUGAAUGAUGAAGGUCUUAGGAUUGUAAAAUUCUUUCACCGGGGACGAUAAUGACGGUACCCGGAGAAGAAGCCCCGGCUAACUUCGUG
rnacentral:rRNA from 1 species